ACAUACAUAUAAUGUACAUGGAAAAUAAUAAGAUAAGAAAUUAUACGUGUUCCGCCUCUCGAAUAGUUUUCCGUUUAGAGUAUCCUGUAUCAAAGCUGGUUAGGACGUAUAUGGGAACAUGUGUCUAGCUCGAAACAAAUUAUAAUUACAAAUGUAAAGCAGGAAUUCAGAAUUUUGCUGGGUGAGAUGUAGAGAGAGAAAGAAAGAAAGGGAGGAAUGAAAACAUGGCUGUAACCGACUACGAAAUUUAUUAAGGACUCCUAACGAGAAAAGAAACAACGCUCGGUGAAUCACGAGAUAAUUAUCUUACGAGCACGAACAGUAUUUUUAUCGGAGCUAUAUUUGCGUUCGUGGCGGUGGUUCACGAAUAAAGAAUCAAGAACAACCAAGAACGAAUAUUAUAUUACAUAAAUCCAAGCGAGAAACUGAUUGGCCGUGAGAAAGGUUUUUACGUGUUGUGUAUACGGGCCUGGGCGAAUGCUAUGAAGUUAUCGACGACGUGAAUUACAGCUCGCGCACUAAAUUCCGAGUUUAAUCUCUUUAGAGAUGUCAUACGUUUGUGUAAUAUUGAAAUCCUUAAACGUAAAUGCUGCUAUGUCAAGCAAAUGACGCAAUUUCCACGAUGGCAAAAAUGGAUCUUUUAUCCGAAACAAUUUUAAUGCAAUUUUACGAAUAGAGCCUUGAUUCUCGAGCGAACGAAAAAAAAAAAAACUCGUAGAAAGAUAAUGCGUUUAUAUUUAAAGCAGAUAUUGAACGGCUUUGCAAUACCAAACGAAUCGCGUUGGAAAUUACAGUCAAGCAAGCGACGAAAGAGAGAAGAAAA